ACGCUCGACACCUACGGGAGGCAGCAGUGAGGAAUAUUGGUCAAUGGGCGCUAGCCUGAACCAGCCAAGUAGCGUGAAGGAUGAAGGCUCUAUGGGUCGUAAACUUCUUUUAUAUAAGAAUAAAGUGCAGUAUGUAUACUGUUUUGUAUGUAUUAUAUGAAUAAGGAUCGGCUAACUCCGUGCUAGCAGCCGAGGUAAUCUGAGCGGGCUGGCAAGGC
rnacentral:rRNA from 1 species